rnacentral:lncRNA from 1 species
CUCGCUUCCUUUUGUUUUCGUGGUAGUUGAAUUCCUAAAAAUUUCAGUAUAUAUUAAAAUGAUAUAAAAUAUACUUUGUUUAUAUGCAUAUAAUGCAAUAUGUUUCUUGGCUUGGGUUAUUAUUAAGCUCUUCACAACCAUAAGAAAUCCCUAUGAAACAUUAAAAAUUUGAGCAGGCUAUAAUUCUUCAAUGUGUGAGACUGUACAACUCAUUGCAGAUCCAGACUUAUAAACAGUUUUAGGAUGUCUUAAUCAUGGUGACAAUUAAAAAGAAAACCUCCCCUACAGAUUUCUAAAAUGUUCCCUAGGGGGUAAUACUAUUUAUAAAGAGAACCACUGUUCCAUUACACAGCCAAGAAAAACGGAAACAUUUUCUGGCUUGGGUAGUAUCUGAAUGGGGAAUUCUCUGUUCCUGCUGCCUUACUUCUUCCCACAGAUGAAUGCUGUGGUGGCAUAAAAAUACAGGAAAGACAUCACCUUCUCUAUGGAGUUUGUCUGCUGUCAGAAACUAUAACAUGUUGAAAACCUGGGGUAUUUUAUCCCUAGAAUUUAUUUCUACCAGAAAGUUACCACUUUAUAUAUUCUGCCAACAAGCUUGCUUGCAAAAGAAGAAGCCACUAUUAUUCCUGAGUCAGUGGCAUGAACACAUGGACUGCAGAGAUAACAGAAGUAAGAUUUGAUGAUUGACUUCCUUGUGUCAAAUUAUGUUCUAAAGUGGCAGUUUCCUGUGAUUCUUAUUCUUACUGAUUUUUUGAACACUAGCAAUGACUUCCCUGAUCUUGCUUUAUCACUCAUCCCAAAGAUUUGGUAACUUUCCAAUCUCUGUAUUACAUCCCUUUCAGUUUGAAAUCUCAAGCAAUUUCUGUUUUUCUAAUCUACUUCUGACCGAUAUGCAGAAUUUCAACAGCUGCCCAAGGUCUCACAGUUAAUCAGAUUUGAAUCCAGAUCUGUCCAGCUUUUGACUAUAUGAAUUGGUGAGUUCUGUAUCUUUCUUCUGACCAUUGUGGGUUGUUUUACAUUCAUAAAUGGUGAGUAGCAUGUUUGGAGUUCUGUAGGGGGAAGAGACUAUACCUCUAUAUCUAAAUCUAAUCUAUGUAGUACUCAUAUCACUUUGUGUUUCCUUAGACUGAUUUGGAGAAUUCUGAGGCAAAUUAAAAUAUAUAGUUACAAGGAAACAAGAAAGAACUAUCUGAAGAUUUGAAUUACUCCUUUUGUUGUUUUUCAUAGCCAUGGGUUAAAGAGGGAGGAUAGUAGAGAUUAGCAAGAGGAAAACAAGAGAUUUGUGAUUUGGAGUGACACAACUAUUGAUCCAGUUAUAGCCACCCAUCCCUGCAUUUGUAUGUUUGGGAGAGUAUUUUUGAAAAUAUUAAAUUCUAGUCAUUGUCAAUAUUUGUAGUAUAAUGUAAAUAUUAUCUAGAAGGGGCUGAUUUGUGUAAAAUAUUUAGUUUGAUUCAGGGAGAAUAAAUAACAAAUCACAUCAUUGUUGCUACCAUUCAUCUUAUCAAAGUUAACAAUUAAAUUUAGAAACAUGCUCAUUCAUACAUUAUUGACAUUUCAGACAAUAUAUUUUAUUUUCUUUUUUUUUUUUUUUUUUUUUUUAAUUAAUUUAUUAUUAUUAUACUUUAAGUUGUAGGGUACAUGUGCAUAACGUGCAGGUUUGUUACAUAUGUAUACUUGUGCCUUGUUGCUGUGCUGCACCCAUCAACUCGUCAUUUACAUCAGGUAUAACUCCCAAUGCAAUCCCUCCCCCCUCCCCCCUCCCCUUCCCCCCCUCCCCCUCCCAUGAUAGGCCCCGGUGUGUGAUGUUCCCCUUCCUGAGUCCGAGUGAUCUCAUUGUUCAGUUCCCACCUAUGAGUGAGAACAUGCGGUGUUUGGUUUUCUGUUAUUUUCUUAUAAAUAACUAGCUCUGCAACAAUGUUUUACUUUUCUAUUCAUCAGCUUGUUUUUAAAAUUUUUUGAAAGGACAGAGAAUGAAAGUUGAAUUAACAAUGAAGCAAUUAAUUUAAUUGCAAAAGAAAUGACUAGGCAAAACAUAAAGUGUAAA